rnacentral:tRNA from 1 species
AGCGUCGAAGUCUAUGCCUCGCCACUGACACUCCGAGGGCUUCCCCGCGUACCUUCGGGGGGCGGGUCCCGUGU